rnacentral:rRNA from 1 species
UAAAAAUUUAAUUUAAAAUAUUUAAGUAGUAUUAGUUAAGAUCUUUAAAUUUAAAAAAUUUGGCGGUAUUUUAGUCUAUUCAGAGGAACCUGUUUUGUAAUCGAUAGUCCACGAUGAAUCUUACUUAAAUUUGUUUUAGUAUAUAUAUCGUCGUUAAAAGAAUAUUUUAUAAGAAUAAUAAUUUUCUUAAUUUUUUAAUUUAAAAUAUAUCAGAUCAAGAUGUAGCUUAUGUUUAAGUUUAUAAUGGGUUACAAUUAUUAUAUUAUUGGAAAUUAAUAUGUAAUUUAUUAUUUGAAAUUGGAUUUGAUAGUAAAUUUAUAUAGAUUGAUGAAUUGAUUAUAGCUCUAAAAUAUG